rnacentral:lncRNA from 1 species
GGAUGGGUAGAGAAUUUCCUUGUGGCGGAGUUAAAACUAGGGUCCUGCCGAUCGUGGGAUGUGGACCUAAGGUGGGGGGAGAUCUUUCCGGGCUGCAACGAUCUGCCCGAAUUGAGUCUUAUUGAGCAGGUCGGGCUGCUUCGACUGACUUCCGUUGAGAGGAAGUAUGAUGUCGAGAAGUGUAUGUUUGCGUCCAACCUUAGGGAUAUCCGGGACACGGGUAUAGUGCUUUGUCCGGC